CAACUUUCAACAAUGGAUCUCUUGGCUCUCGCAUCGAUGAAGAACGCAGCGAAAUGCGAUAAGUAAUGUGAAUUGCAGAAUUCAGUGAAUCAUCGAAUCUUUGAACGCACCUUGCGCUCCUUGGUAUUCCGAGGAGCAUGCCUGUUUGAGUGUCAUG
rnacentral:rRNA from 2 species